rnacentral:rRNA from 1 species
GAUGAACGCUAGCUACAGGCUUAACACAUGCAAGUCGUGGGGCAGCGGAUACUUAGCUUGCUAAGUAUGCCGGCGACCGGCGCACGGGUGAGUAACGCGUACCGAACCUGCCCAUCACACAGGGAUAGGCUUGCGAAAGCAAGACUAAUAACUGAUGGUCUCAAUUUUAUGCAUGUUGGAAUGAGUAAAGCCUUCGGGCGGUGAUGGAUGGCGGUGCGUCCCUUUAGGAAGUGGGCGGGGUAACGGCCCACCAAGCCUUCGAUGGGUAGGGGUUCUGAGAGGAAGGUGGCCCGCAUGGGGACUGAGGUACGGUGCAAACGCCUACGGGAGGCAGCAGUGAGGAAUAGUAGUCAAUGGGAGAGAGCCUGAACCAGCCAAGUAGCGUGCCGGAUGCAGGGCCUUGCGGUCGUAAGCCGCUGUUAUCAGUGAAGAAAGUGCACGACGUGUAGUGUGAUUGCCGGUAGCUGAAGAAGAAGGACCGGCUAAUUCCGUG